UGUAUCCGUUGCAAUGUUGCCACGAAUUCCGCGACGACCGCGAAUAAUCCUAUGUUUAGGGUUGCCGUGUGCGAAGGUAGGCUGGGUGGCAAGGGUUUUGUUGCCGUGUCCGAAGGAAGGCCGGUGCGAAGGGUCUCUCUCCGGUGGUUGAAGAUCCGGCGGCUCGGGUGCGAAGGAAGGUUGGGUGCCAAGGGUUCCUUAUGUAGAGGAUCCAAAUACUCCGGAAGAAACGUUUUUGUAAGUUUUUCAGGUUUUCUUCUAUCUAUUUAUAAAUGACUUUCCUUCUUUUCAAGGCAACGACUGGACUC